rnacentral:rRNA from 1 species
CGACUUGGAGGUUGUGCCCUUGAGGCGUGGCUUCCGGAGCUAACGCGUCAAGUCGACCGCCUGGGGAGUACGGCCGCAAGGUUAAGACUCAAAUGAAUUGACGGGGGCCCGCACAAGCGGUGGAGCAUGUGGUUUAAUUCGAUGCAACGCGAAGAACCUUACCUACUCUUGGCAUCCAGAGAACUUUCCAGAGAUGGAUUGGUGCCUUCGGGAACUCUGAGACAGGUGCUGCAUGGCUGUCGUCAGCUCGUGUUGUGAAAUGUUGGGUUAAGUCCCGCAACGAGCGCAACCCUUAUCCUUUGUUGCCAGCGGUCCGGCCGGGAACUCAAAGGAGACUGCCAGUGAUAAACUGGAGGAAGGUGGGGAUGACGUCAAGUCAUCAUGGCCCUUACGAGUAGGGCUACACACGUGCUACAAUGGCGCAUACAAAGAGAAGCGACCUCGCGAGAGCAAGCGGACCUCAUAAAGUGCGUCGUAGUCCGGAUUGGAGUCUGCAACUCGACUCCAUGAAGUCGGAAUCGCUAGUAAUCGUAGAUCAGAAUGCUACGGUGAAUACGUUCCCGGGCCUUGUACACACCGCCCGUCACACCAUGGGAGUGGGUUGCAAAAGAAGUAGGUAGCUUAACCUUCGGGAGGGCGCUUACCACUUUGUGAUUCAUGACUGGGGUGAAGUCGUAACAAGGUAUC